AACCAGGCCCAGCUCCGAUGUCAAUUCGUACGUCUCCAUGAUGGUCAUAUUCACCGCUUCCUUCGUCCCCUUUCGCUUGUUUCUGUCAUUUCUCACCGCUGGUGGAAGGAAAAGGAGCAGGGACAAAAGAGAAAACCACGAACUUUAUUAAGCUUAGGGCGGAGAUGGACCACAUGAUCACUGGAGCAAAGUAUUCGGCCGCUAUGGCAUGGAGACUAUUCUGGAGAAAAUGGGCAUCCAGGAGAAGGUGACAGCGAUGACCAGCUUCUGGAGCUGAUCAGGGAGGACAUGAGGCUGCAGAGGGAGGCAGAGCAGCAGAGGGCACAGGAGAGAAGGGAGAAUUUUGACAGGCUUGCUAGAAAAAAUGGUUAAGAACGAUUAAACAUGUACAUAUAAAAGAAAUACCUAAAUAAAAUCAGUUCUGUAUUAAACUCUUGAAUUUAAUUUUUGUUUACAAAUGUGAAUUGUUUAAUAUUACAGGGUAUCCGCUGGGUCUUGAAAAGUCUUAAAAGGUGAAACAUCGGUUUUGGUCAAAUUAAGACCCUUAGAAAGUAUUAAAAACUAUUAUCACAUCUUUGCUCAGGCUCAGCUUGUCUAAAGUAUUUUGUCUGAAUUAGCUCUCCAACAGUCAAGGAAAUUAUUAAAAAGCUAAAUAAAACUUCGAGCUCCAUCGUUUAAAGUUCCUUCUCCCUUCUGCUCAGUGGUUCCACGGUUGCUAGGUGACGGAACGUUCGCCGAGGGAGUGGCAUGAAUUCAUGAAGGCUAGGCCUGUCCAAAUUCACAGCCAUUAACAUCCGGUCAACUCGGCCAACGGAGGACCCAGCCCAUGUCGGCCGAGUAGGCUGGGUCCUUCGAAGGAUGCAGACCCUGAAUUGAGACACCGCGUAAAUCUCAUCUCAGUAGCUGCAAAAGCAAAAUUGAUCAAAUUGUAGCCAUUUGAGUACUUGCUAAGGUCAGUUGAUGUAAAAAUGAAGUAAAAAUGACACCAUGUGGUCAAAUUUGGGUACUGCAGCCUAUUAAAAACACUGUUGCCAGCUGUGGCUCAGCGCCAGAAAACUCUAGAUGACAAGCAAACUUAUACACAGUAAAUUGAUGAGUAGAUAAAUACAGAUCAUAAACAAUAUUUUUGUCCCUUUUUGGCUUCCUUCCAACAUGAAUGAGACAUUAGAUUGUGAUUUUUUUCACUGUACAAUUCGUACAUAUUGUACCUUGAAAUCAGGAUCAUUUGAAUAAUUUAUUAAAAAUUUAUUGAAAUUCAUCAGGUGGUUCUUGAGUUGAUUUAAAGCAGAUAUGCCGUUUAUUUCCUCAGAGAGUACCAUCUAGAGGUGGAAAAAUGAACUGCAGCU